GUGCCAGCCGCCGCGGUAAUACAGAGGGGGCAAGCGUUGUUCGGAAUUACUGGGCGUAAAGGGCGCGUAGGCGGCCUGCUAAGUCGAUCGUGAAAUCCCCGGGCUUAACCCGGGAACUGCGACCGAUACUGGUUGGCUUGAAUUCGGGAGAGGGAUGCGGAAUUCCAGGUGUAGCGGUGAAAUGCGUAGAUAUCUGGAGGAACACCGGUGGCGAAGGCGGCAUCCUGGACCGGCAUUGACGCUGAGGCGCGAAAGCCAGGGGAGCAAACGGGAUUAGAAACCCCGGUAGUCC
rnacentral:rRNA from 1 species